GACGAACGCUGGCGGCGUGCUUAACACAUGCAAGUCGAACGGAAAGGCCCUGCUUUUGUGGGGUGCUCGAGUGGCGAACGGGUGAGUAACACGUGAGUAACCUGCCCUUGACUUUGGGAUAACUUCAGGAAACUGGGGCUAAUACCGGAUAGGAGCUCCUGCUGCAUGGUGGGGGUUGGAAAGUUUCGGCGGUUUGGGAUGGACUCGCGGCUUAUCAGCUUGUUGGUGGGGUAGUGGCUUACCAAGGCUUUGACGGGUAGCCGGCCUGGGAGCGUGACCGGCGACAAUGGGACUACGAGAGGGCCCAGACGCCAACGGGAGGCAGCGGUGGGAAAUAUUACACAAUGGGCGGAAGCCUGAUACAGCAACGCCGCGUGCGGGAUGACGGCCUUCGGGUUGUAAACCGCUUUCGCCUGUGACGAAGCGUGAGUGACGGUAAUGAAUAAAGAAGCACCGGCUAACUACGUG
rnacentral:rRNA from 1 species